rnacentral:rRNA from 1 species
AUUGAACGCUGGCGGCAGGCCUAACACAUGCAAGUCGAGCGCGAGGGGGACAGGUGAGUACAGUGUGGGAAACUGCCUGAUGGAGGGGGAUAACACCAGGAAACGGGAGCUAAUACCGCAUACCCUCAGAUGUGCCCAGAUGGGAUUAGCGAGUAGGUGGGGUAACGGCUCACCUAGGGGACGAUCACUAGCGGGUGUGAGAGGAUGAGCAGCCACACUGGAACUGAGACACGGGCCAGACUCCUACGGGAGGCAGCAGUGGGGAAUAUGGGACAAUGGGCGAAAGACUGAUGCAGCCAUGCCGCGUGUGUGAAGAAGGUCUUCGGAUUGUAAAGCACUUUAAGUUGGGAGGCGUUACCAACAGAAUAAGCACCGGCUAACUUCGUGCCAGCAGCCGCGGUAAUAC